AUUAGCAUAAUUCAGGCCUACUUUUCCUCCUCCUCUGCUCCACUUUGCAUUUCAUUGUAGGGAGAAGAUGGCCGCCUGCUCUUCAAUCUGCACUGAAAAAGAAUCCAGGGAAAUUCCUUUUUUUUUUUUUUACUUGCUGCGGAAGAGCUUAGUAUGAUUACCCCCCUACCCCCCCCCCAAUCAAUUUUGAUACCUCAGUAGAUGGAUGGAAGUCUGGACCGAGUACAACAUAAAUCUGUGAGCACAUAAUGUCAAGUACGACACUACAGUAACCCCCCCCCCCCCCCGCGUACACAAGGUGACACGCGGCCAAUGAAGCGCAUAAUCUGGAGUCAGCAAAGGCAAGUGGCAGAAGGAACAUGUCUUCUCUUUAUCCUCCCUCCCUGUCAGUGUUUUCUCCCUGGCCCCUUCUGUGCUUUCCCUUCCCCUCUGUCUGCUUGUCACUAGGUAACUUUUUCCCUUUUUCCUUCUUCUGUCUGUAUCUCCGAGCACCUCUAGCCCUCCCUGUCUGGCUCCGACAAAGUCUCUGAUCUCGCCUGGGCCUCGCCGAGAGGCUGACGUUGAUGUUUCCUGGCUUUUCUCUGCCCAUUAAUGUCUUUAAGUCUUACCCGGGCUAUGCGGCACAUUUUCGACUAAGACAUCACCCCCCAGCCCCCCAUGCAGCGCUCUCUAAUGACAAGCGUGGCCAUCUCCAAACUCAAGAAAUCUCAUAUGGGCCGGAUGUAAAUUUCCCCAGUGUGGGACAAAUAAAGGAUAUCUCAUCUCAUCUCA